GACAAACGCUGGCGGCGUGCCUAAUACAUGCAAGUCGAACGGGGCAUGGGGUUUCGGCCUCAGGCUUACGUGGCGGACGGGUGAGGAACGCGUGGAUGACCUGCCCAGCAGUGGGGGAUAGCCUACAGAAAUGUGGGGUAAUACCGCAUGCGGUGGUGAUGCUAGGACAUCACCAGGAAAGCUGCCCGCAAGGGUUGGCGCUGGUGGAGGGGUUUGCGUCCGAUUAGCUAGUUGGUGGGGUAAAGGCCUACCAAGGCGUCGAUCGGUAGCUGGUCUG
rnacentral:rRNA from 1 species